GUGGAAAGGAUUCAUAAGGAUGUCUAAUAUUGAAACAUUUGCAAACAGUUGUUCCAAACACUCUGGUUUGACAUUGGUGAAAUAUGAGGACCUGAGCCCUAGGACCAUGCCUCAGGACUACCUGGCCUGAUGACUCCUUGCUGUCCCCAGUCCACCUGGUCAUGCUGCUGCUCCAUUUUCAACUGUUCUGCCUGCGACUAUGCAACCAUGACCUGUUCACUGGACGUGGACCUUGUGCCAGACCUGCUGUUUUGGACUCUCUCUCUACCGCACCUUUUGUCUCUAACUCUGAAUGAUCAGCUAUGAAAAGCCAACUGACAUUUACUCCUGAGGUGCUGACCUGUUGCACCCUCUUCAACCAUUGUGAUUACUAAUAUCUGACCUUGCUGGUCAUCCAUGAACAUUUGAACAUCUUGGCCAUGUUCCGUUAUAAUCUCCACCUGGCAUUGCCAGAAGAGGACUGGCCACCUCUCAGAACCUGGUUCCUCUCUUGGUUUCUUCCUAGAUUCUGGGCUUUCUAGGGAGUAUUUCCUAGCCACCGUGCUUCUACAUCUGCAAUGCUUUCUGUUUGGGAUUUUAGGCUGGGUUUCUGUACAGCACUUUGUGACUUUGUGUCACUGUGACAUAAAAGUUGGGCUUCUAGAGAUGGUAAUUGGAGGAUGAUAGUCUCAGGUCUCUCUCACGUCUCUCUCACAUCUCUCCCAAAUGAUCUAUUGCUUCAGCAAACUGACAGAGUGUGAAUAGGGUUCCGACGGGCCACCCCCCUCUUGCCUCGUGAGUGACAUCAUUACUGGUUAAGAGAGACAGCGCGCACUUUUAUAAAAUAAGCUACUUUAUGCAAAUGUUGUUGAUCAGUACAAUAAAAUAUAUCCCAAAUA